AUUGAACGCUGGCGGCAGGCCUAACACAUGCAAGUCGAACGAGUGGCGGACGGGUGAGUAAUGUCUGGGAAACUGCCCGAUGGAGGGGGAUAACUACUGGAAACGGUAGCUAAUACCGCAUACCAUCGGAUGUGCCCCGAGGGGAUUAGCUGGUAGGUGAGGUAACGGCUCACCUAGGCGACGAUCCCUAGCGGGUCUGAGAGGAUGACCAGCCACACGUGAACGUAGACACGGUCCAGACUCCUACGGGAGGCCGCAGUGGGGAAUAUUGAACAAUGGGCGCAAGCCUGAUGCAGCCAUGGCGCGUGGAUGAAGAAGGCCUUCGGGUUGUAAAGUACUUUCAGCGGGGAGGCGUUACCCGCAGAAGAAUCACCGGCUAACUCCGUGCCAGCAGCCGCGGUAAUAC
rnacentral:rRNA from 1 species